AAACCUCCUCUCCUGUCUUCAUGUGGAUGCUAACUUAAAACUCUAUUUCUGGGUCAGAUAACUCCCUGCUCUCAGCCCUGAUGACUACACCUUUGACACACACUAUAUUGCUCCAUUGUCAGCCACCCUCCCUCCCACUGCCCUGAAGAUGGAAAUAUACCCAACCUUCAAGCCCCUGUCGCUCCAGCUCGCAAAGUUUUGGGCUGAAGAUCCAUUAUGAGACAAAUGAGAUGUUUAUCUCCACUUACACAGCCUACGGCUUGUGUGUUGAGAAAGAUAUUGAGCCAACAAAAUGAUCUGCAACACAAAAUUCUAUUCUCCUCUUCACUCUUUAUUGUUAAAGCGCUUAUUUCAUUGGUUUCAAGCUGCUUUAAAAGGAGUGAAUGUGCAGGUGAAACUACCUACAGAGGCACUACCCUAACAUGCUUAAGGAUGCUUGAGAAAGCCCUGACCCUACAAAAAGGCGUAAGACCCGUGGCAAGAAUGAAGGAGUCAAGCAAUGUGAAAAGCUCCUGAAGCCCAAGGUUCUCUUCCCCAG